GCUCUGGAUUAGGCUUUGGCUUAAGGGAAUGUUGUGGCUGGUUUGAUCUUCUAUCCAGACCUCUCAGACUUUCUCUGUAUCAGC
rnacentral:pre_miRNA from 1 species